CUUCAGCCAUAUUCUGUAUAAAUGAGAUGGUCGUCCACUUCUCUUGCACACUCCUUUGAAACAGACAGUAACCUUGGUCUCAGAUGCAGUGUCCUCGGACUUGGAAACUCAUUGGACCAAAAAUGUCUACAACUUAUUUUUCCCCUUAGAUCUUCUUUUUUUUAUUGAUUUUCCAUUUUUAGCACAAGAUUGAUCACCAGCAAAAUACCAAUUUACAUACAGAUUCUGCUAAACUCAGCAUCCUAUAUACUUGGGACUUUUUCAUCCAUAAACCAAUUUUUUAAAGAGAGAGAUUCUAUUAUCAGAAGUGUCCCUGAUGACACUCAAGAUAGCCUAUAGGGAACAAACUCAGGAGGCCUGCAGCCUGGUGGGGUGAGCUCAGCUGAUCUGGCAGAAAGGGCUCGACGGGGAUAGCUGGUCUCUGGCCUGCCUGGUUCCUUAGCUGGAAAUACUUAAAGUUUUGAAGCACUUCAUGACUGAGAGUGUGGAACAUCUGAAGACUUCUUCAAUCACAGAGACCCUAUAAGUGAGUGCUGGCUGAUGGAAGGUGAGCAGAAAUGAUGCGUACCACUUCAGGACCUGGCCGGUGAAACUUCCAUGCAUGAAACUCCAUUCUCGUUCCCCUUCUGCCAGCUAGAUGCAGAUUGGCACGAUGAUCUUGAACCCUUGAACACUACAGCUGGAAGGGGACAAAGCCACAAGAUAGAAGGAGCCAUGAUCCUUGAGUCAUCAUACAGAGAGAAACCACCUCCAAACACCAUUUAGGAUUUUGUAUUAACAAAUCAAUGUCUAUGAUGUUUGAGCUAUUACUCAGUUUGGGGUUUAUUUGUUAUAGUAGCUGUGAUUACCUCAACCAACAUAAUAGGUUUUAAUAUUUCUAAGAUA